rnacentral:rRNA from 1 species
GAGUUUGAUUCUGGCUCAGAACGAACGCUGGCGGCGUGCCUAACACAUGCAAGUCGAACGAGAAAGUGGACUUCGGUCCGCGAGUACAGUGGCAUACGGGUGAGUAACACGUGGAUAACCUGCCCGGAGGUGGGGGAUAACUCCCCGAAAGGGGUGCUAAUACCGCAUGACACCGCGAUCUCCUCGGAGUUCGCGGUCAAAGCUUGCCUCUUCUAAGCAAGCGCCACCGGAGGGGUCCGCGCCCCAUUAGCUUGAUGGUGAGGUAACGGCUCACCAUGGCUUCGAUGGGUAGCCGGCCUGAGAGGGUGAACGGCCACACUGGAACUGAGACACGGUCCAGACUCCUACGGGAGGCAGCAGUGAGGAAUCUUGCGCAAUGGGCGAAAGCCUGACGCAGCGACGCCGCGUGGAGGACGAAGGUCUUCGGAUCGUAAACUCCUGUCAAGAGGGACGAAUCCCUGUCGGAUGAAUAAGCCGGCAGGUUGACGGUACCUCUGGAGGAAGCCCCGGCUAACUCCGUGCCAGCAGCCGCGGUAAUACGGAGGGGGCCAGCGUUGUUCGGAAUUAUUGGGCGUAAAGGGCG